GACGAACGCUGGCGGCGUGCUUAACACAUGCAAGUCGAACGGAAAGGCCCUGCUUUUGUGGGGUGCUCGAGUGGCGAACGGGGGAGUAACACGUGAGUAACCUGCCCUUGACUUUGGGAUAACUUCAGGAAACUGGGGCUACUACCGGAUAGGAGAUCCUGUAGCAUGGAGGGGGUGGGAAAGUUUCGGCGGUUGGGGAUGGAUUGGCGGGUAAUGAGCUUGUUGGUUGGGUGGGGGCUUACCAAGUCAGUGGCGGGUAGCCGGCCUGGGAGGGGGGCCGCCGACAUUGGGCCUGCGAGACGCCGCAGUCGCGAACGGGAGGCAGCGGUGGGGAGUAUUGCACAGUGGGCCGGAGUCUGAUGAAGAGGCGCCGCGGGCGUAAUGACGGCCUUCGGGUUGUAAACCGCUUUCGCCUGUGACGAAGCGUGAGUGACGGUAAUGGAUAAAGAAGCACCGGCUAACUACGUG
rnacentral:rRNA from 1 species